GGAGGAGCUUGCUCUUCUGGAUGAGUUGCGAACGGGUGAGUAACGCGUAGGUAACCUGCCUGGUAGCGGGGGAUAACUAUUGGAAACGAUAGCUAAUACCGCAUAAGAGUAGAUGUUGCAUGACAUUUGCUUAAAAGGUGCAAUUGCACCACUACCAGAUGGACCUGCGUUGUAUUAGCUAGUUGGUGGGGUAACGGCUCACCAAGGCGACGAUACAUAGCCGACCUGAGAGGGUGAUCGGCCACACUGGGACUGGGACACGGCCCAGACUCCUACGGGAGGCAGCAGUAGGGAAUCUUCGGCAAUGGACGGAAGUCUGACCGAGCAACGCCGCGUGAGUGAAGAAGGUUUUCGGAUCGUAAAGCUCUGUUGUAAGAGAAGAACGAGUGUGAGAGUGGAAAGUUCACACUGUGACGGUAUCUUACCAGAAAGGGACGGCUAACUACGUGCCAGCAGCCGCGGUAAUACGUAGGUCCCGAGCGUUGUCCGGAUUUAUUGGGCGUAAAGCGAGCGCAGGCGGUUAGAUAAGUCUGAAGUUAAAGGCUGUGGCUUAACCAUAGUACGCUUUGGAAACUGUUUAACUUGAGUGCAAGAGGGGAGAGUGGAAUUCCAUGUGUAGCGGUGAAAUGCGUAGAUAUAUGGAGGAACACCGGUGGCGAAAGCGGC
rnacentral:rRNA from 1 species